rnacentral:rRNA from 1 species
AUUGAACGCUGGCGGCAUGCCUUACACAUGCAAGUCGAACGGCAGCACGGGUGCUUGCACCUGGUGGCGAGUGGCGAACGGGUGAGUAAUACAUCGGAACAUGUCCUGUAGUGGGGGAUAGCCCGGCGAAAGCCGGAUUCAUACCGCAUACGAUCUACGGAUGACAGCGGGGGACCUUCGGGCCUCGCGCUAUAGGGUUGGCCGAUGGCUGAUUAGCUAGUUGGCGGGGUAAAGGCCUACCAAGGCGACGAUCAGUAGAUGGUCUGAGAGGACGACCAGCCACACUGGGACUGAGACACGGCCCAGACUCCUACGGGAGGCAGCAGUGGGGAAUUUUGGACAAUGGGCGAAAGCCUGAUCCAGCAAUGCCGCGUGUGUGAAGAAGGCCUUCGGGUUGUAAAGCACUUUUGUCCGGAAAGAAAUCCUUGGCUCUAAUACAGUCGGGGGAUGACGGUACCGGAAGAAUAAGCACCGGCUAACUACGUG